rnacentral:lncRNA from 1 species
CUCGGUGUUUGUUCUCGUGCUGACCCACCUGGUGCUCGCCCUCGUGCCGGCCCACCCGGUGCUCAUUCUCGGGCUGGCCCACCUGGUGCUCAUUCUCGGGCCGGCCCCACCCGGUGCUUGUUCUCGGGCCGGCCCCACCCGGUGCUUGUUCUCGGGCCGGGCGGGGAAAGGCCACCGGGGGUGGGGAUCGGGGAAGCCGCCGACAGGAGGAAGAGGAGACAAACUUGAGAAAGAAAGGGCUAAGGGACAGGGGUCUUUCACCAUCUCGGCUUUUCCCGGCACUUCCUCCUGCCUGCAGCAGCCUGAGAUGCCGGAACUCCGUACACUUCAACUUGCUACUUUUCAAACUAAGGACCUCUGGAGCUCACUCGUCUGCCUGUUUGCUGCAAUCUGAUGUGUCACUCUAUCACAAGACAGAGCUCUGUGAAGGAUUCUCUGUAGAGAACUUCUCAGCACAAGGAUUUCAUUCUCCUGAGAACACGCUCAAGUGUCCAUAUGGUUCUUAAGAAGACACUGACCUCUUUGAAACCAGAACUGAACGGUCCAGUGAACUGGGGGUGACUUGUGCUUGCACAAAUUCUUUUCAACUCUGGUUCUCAGAAAGGCUAAAUGGAAAGAGUCGUUGGAAGAUUCAAAAUAGCAUCUGUCACAUUCCAAUCUUGUGAGAUAAUGCAUGGUCUUGCACAGGCAUUAGAGAGGAAGACAGAUAAUCUGGGGCUCUGUUUACUGUGAUUUAUUAGCUUCUAAAGACGCAAAGGCUAUAAAAAUAAUUCACAUCUAAGAAUUUACUGAUGUAUGUUUCUACCCUGUUGGACUCUGUUAAAUUGAAAGUAACAGUUAAAUCCUAGGAUAUGGGUGAGUACUGGAGGAAGGCCUUCCUUCUUCCAGGACUGAGCAGAGUCUGUAUUAAAAGAUUGUCGUCUUUUAACUCCUUUUGUCUAAGAGGUAAAGCAGCGUUGUCAGGAGCUUUCAGAUGGCCCACAACUUCCUACAGCCUCCUUUGGUACGCACCAGUGAAAAUUUCCCAUAAGAAUUGAGGUCAUUUUUUAACCUCUGGAAUUCUCAAUGUGUUUUCUUCAAGGCAGCUGCCUUCUUCUGAGCCUCUUAUAAAUUAGCUGUGUAUUUUCUGGGAUCAACCACAUCCUCAGAAAACGGACUGCAGCUCAUCCAGUUAACCUGACCCCUGUCUUUCCCUCUCCACAGACAGCUGUGUGAAGAGGUCUCAGGAGCAAUAACUCACAUAGAGGCUCUUCUGUGGCCCCAAAUUUGGACAUGUUUUUGCUUGAGUAUUCACUGGCUUCAGCAAUUUGGCAAAUAUAGGACAGGACUCCUAAUUCCAUGAGGUCAAAUACCAUCCCCAAACUAAAACUGAAAAAUUAACUGACUCAAGGAAAGGGCUUUGGGAUAAACCAAGUGUCCUGAGGUCACUGUCAUAGAGGCACCCUCUCUUCUCAUCACUCAUUUCCCUUGGGUGACACUUUAAUCAUGCCAUUUUCAAGGAUUUAAUAAGAAUCCCUGUCAGUAGCCCAAGUUUAAGACUUCAGGGAACACUGAAAAUUCCUGCCCUCCCUCCCAGUACAAAUGAAAUGUAAGAACAAAUAGGAUGUUAGAGACAAGAUGUGUCCUGAGGACAGCCUCAAGACAAUAGCACCUUUGGUGUAGAACAGAGACUGUAGACUGUGGACUAGGGACUAGAGAAAUGGUUCAUCAGUUAAGUGCCAUGGCUCUUCUUCCAGAGGACUCUGGAGUUUCCAGCACCCACAUGGUGGCUCACAACUGUCUGUACCUCCAGUCCUGGGGGAUCCGAUGCCCUUCUUCUGGGUCUGUAGGCACCAGACACAAACAUGGUAAACAAACACAUAUCCAGGCAAAAUACCCAUACACAUAAAAGAAAUAAACAUUUUAAAAGUAGAUUAUAGACUAAAGGCCAUGAGGGCACUGAUCAUGCUAAUUUGGUACAAUAAAAGUAUCAAAGCCAGGCAUUGGUGGCGCAUGCCUUUAAUCCCAGUACUCGGGAGGCAGAGGCAGGCAGAUCUCUGUGAGUUCGAGGCCAGCCUGGUCUCCAGAGUGCCAGGAUAUGCUCCAAAGCUACACAGAGAAACCCUGUCUCGAAAAAAAUUUAAAAAAAGUAUCAAAGUUAUGGGCUUUUGAUUUUUACUUGAGACUAGUGUAUCUAUGUGUGAAAUCAUGACGUGUAGAAUUUACUUUUAAGAAGUCCAGCAGAAAAGUCAGUGAGAUGGCUCAGUGAGUCAAGAUGGUUGCUGCCAAGACUGAGUACAAUCCCUGGGUCCCAUAUGAUAGAAGGAGAAUUGUCAUUCUCUGGCCUCAUCUACAUGCCAUGCACACCUACAAUAAAUAAAUACUGUGUUUUUGAAAUUCCAGCAUAAAAUGGUAAGAUGACAGAUGAUAUAAAAUUGGUACAGUGUUGAUACCAGAAAAUGUAAACAAAACAGUAUGAGAGCUUUUCCUAGUGUUUGGAUGAUUUUAAACAAUUAGAUUUGCACAAAAGUUGGAUGAUAAAUGCCCUGGCCCUGGAUUAUAGUUAGAGUCCUCCAGGUUCUAUAAAUGGAAAGAGAUUUGUUUGCUGUCUCUAUGACUAAAGAACAUAACUAGUUUUUCUGAGGAACAUCAGGGUCAAUUGGGAAACUUUCUGGCUAUUGGACUUUUACUUACCCUAACAAAGGCUGGGCCUCACUAAUAAUGGCCAACCUGAGAGUAGCAGCUGCCUGAAGACAAGUUGCAGCUAGGGAAG